GGGAAACGGAUGGAGGGGCCAGCCCCGGGCCCCGAAGCAGUGUUACGGGGCA
rfam:Pteropus alecto contig186, whole genome shotgun sequence.